GAUGAAGAACGCAGUAAAAUGCGAUAAGUAAUGUGAAUUGCAGAAUUCAGUGAAUCAUCGAAUCUUUGAACGCACAUUGCGCCCGCUGGUAUUCCGGCGGGCAUGCCUGUUCGAGCGUCAUUUCAACCCUCAAGCCCCCGGGUUUGGUGUUGGGGAUCGGCUCUGCCUUCUGGCGGUGCCGCCCCCGAAAUACAUUGGCGGUCUCGCUGCAGCCUCCAUUGCGUAGUAGCUAACACCUCGCAACUGGAACGCGGCGCGGCCAUGCCGUAAAACCCCAACUUCUGAAUGUUGACCUCGGAUCAGGUAGGAAUACCCGCUGAACUUAAGCAUAUCAAUAAGCGGAGGA
rnacentral:misc_RNA from 1 species